rnacentral:tRNA from 1 species
AAACAGGAAGCGAACACUCGCAUUCAGUUUCGGCCUGAAAACUUGACUCACGUCCCUGUUUU